GGGGCUGAAUUUUAAGCUCGACGGUUGAACCUUAACAACUCUGAAUGGCAGGCCGGAUUGAUCUGCACGUUAGCCGGAUCAAACCACCAAAUGCAAUUUCGAAAGCAUUUAAUCGCGUUGCAGUAGCGCUCUUCGGAACGCCUGCUCGCGUAUCAGUCACGGCUUAAUUACCGUGACCGCGCUAUCUUCGACUCCAGAUAGAAGAUAAGCGUGCCAUAUCAUCUGGAUGCUCCGUAUUUCAGUAAUCCGCUGGACUGCGGUUAAGAUUUCCUGGGUUGCGUCAAGUGUUUUUUGGCCGUUUCCAUCGCUUGGUUAAGACACCAAAUGGCCUAAGCCUGUAGUCAUCAGAGGAGUUAACAAUCGGACGUGGGGGCAGUACCCACCAGCUCCACCA
rnacentral:tmRNA from 1 species